rnacentral:rRNA from 1 species
CAUGCUAGACGUAGUUUGAUCCUGGCUCAGAGCGAACGCUAGCGGCGAGCUUAACACAUGCAAGUCGAGCGGAGGGUUUCGGCCCUCAGCGGCGGACGGGUGAGUAACACGUAGGUUACGUGCCCUUUGGUGGGGAAUAACUUAGGGAAACCUGAGCUAAUACCGCAUAUGCCCUUCGGGGUGAAAGUCUUCGGACGCCAGAGGAUCGGCCUGCGGCCCAUUAUUUAAUCCUUGUUGGUGGGGUAACGGCCUACCAAGGGUACGAUGGGUAGCUGGUCUGAGAGGAUGAUCAGCCACACUGGGACUGAGACACGGCCCAGACUCCUACGGGAGGCAGCAGUGGGGAAUAUUGGACAAUGGGGGAAACCCUGAUCCAGCUACGCCGCGUGGGUGAUGAAGGCCUUCGGGUUGUAAAGCCCUGUCGAGGGAGACGAAGUUCUGACGGUACCCCUCAAGAAAGCACCGGCUAACUCCGUG